rnacentral:rRNA from 1 species
GAGACGGCUCAUAGUUCUAAGGAAGGCAGCAGGCGCGGAAAUUGCCCAAUGUACCGUUGUGUACGAGGCAGUGACGAGGCGUCGUGAGUCACUUAGGUGACAUUACGAUGAGUGAGGUGUACAGACCCUCGCAAAUGCAAGUCGUGGGAAAGCAUGGUGCCAGCAGCCGCGGUAAUUCCAUCAUGACUAACUCAUUCUUACGGUGCUGCAGUUAAAGCGUCCGUAGCUGGCGGCCUGCCGACUCGAGGAACUCUCGACGCCCAACGUAGCGAGCGCGGUGAGCUGCAGCGAGUUACGGCAACAACAACUAUCGCUAUAGGACAGGGGAAGGCUCCUUCUAUUAUAGGGGGACAGGUGAAAUAGGAUGAUGCCUAUAGGAGGAACAAGUGCGCAGGCACUGAGUCGUCCCCGGUUCGUUGGUCAAGGGCGUUAUCGUGGGGCUAGACGAUGAUUAGAGACCGUUUUACUCCACGUCGUAAACGAUGCUACCUCGCUGUG